UACAGAGGUCUCAAGCGUUGUUCGGAUUCAUUGGGCGUAAAGGGUGCGUAGGUGGUGUCGUAAGUCGGGUGUGAAAUCUCGGGGCUUAACCCCGAAACUGCACUCGAUACUGCGGUGCUCGAGGACUGGAGAGGAGACUGGAAUUCACGGUGUAGCAGUGAAAUGCGUAGAUAUCGUGAGGAAGGCCAGUGGCGAAGGCGGGUCUCUGGACAGUUCCUGGCACUGAGGCACGAAGGCCAGGGGAGCAAACGGG
rnacentral:rRNA from 1 species